rnacentral:lncRNA from 1 species
GGAAAGAAGUCAUUUAGAUUAUAUAUAAUUUAAUCAAUUUUCAAGUAAUACAAUCAUCAAAAUCAGAAUACAAAACAUAAACCUUCCUGCUGUUGUUGUCACAAGUGGCACUAAAGUUCUUACAUUCAUAUCACCUUCCUGCUGGCUUCAGUAUAUCGGAAAAAACUGUUUCGGAUCUGUAUCCCAUCUUCGUAGCUGCAGCAAACACAUUAUCAUCAUCCUCAUCUGAUGGCAGCGUUGAAUGAGAAGACUUUGUAAAUUUUGAUUCACUAUAAGCUGGGCCGUAUGACGACCUGUCGUAUACAGCACCAUAGUGUUUGGAUCGCCUUCGUUGCAGGGAAACUAUAAGAACUAAAAUAGACAAGAACACUAACACUCCUACAAUUCCUCCAAUUAUCACAGCAUACAUAGGUUUCUUCUUGUUCCUUUGCACAAUUGGUGUCCAACCUGUUGAUGUGGUUGUAGAACUAAGUUCGGGGUUUGGGCUAGCAAGAUUUUUAUCCAUGCUUAGCUUGAAGACUUCCAAACCGUUCAAAUAAGCAUCAAGAUAUAGUUCAGAGUUGCGAUUAGGAUGCAUUGCUAACCACAAAUCUUGCUUGCUUCGUUUGCCAUCUGGGUCGUUGACAAACACAAUGUAAUCCUUGAAUACAGGAUACCCGCUCCCUCGAGUCCAGUAGAAUAGAUCAGCCUCCUCCUCAGCAGUUUUAUUGUUAACGAAGAUCUUAAAAACAACCUGACCGCUUUUGGUGUAUUGUGGUAUGAUGUUGCAAAAAUGGAGGCGGAGCAUGUAAUAAAACCCAGAAUCAACAGGGAGUAUCCAAGUUAGAUUGUACUUGUCAGACAGUUUUCCCAUACUCCUCUGGGUUUGAUAAACUGUCUCAGGAGCGGUAUAAUUGGGCGUUUCAGUAGUAUACAUGAUCGGAUUAUUAUAAAGAGGCGUCAACCCAAUUGCAGCUCCAUAUAUGUAGUUAUUAUCUUGAUCCCAUGACCUGUACAUACCAGUAUCAUCGUUACCGGAUAUUUCUCCUCCACCCAUGUUUAGCCUGUAAAUAUUGUCAAGCGCCGUGUUGGUAUCAAUAAUCGGUCCUGAAUAUUGAUUAACAUAUUUUGGUGUCUUGGCAUUAAAAUACAAAUUUUCAGGCACUGAAACGAUUUCAAUACCAUUGAUGAAGGCAUAUGAGUUGGGUGAGGGUGUAAAGGUAACAUCUAGGAUUUGUGUAUCUUUUACAUAGAUGAGGAAUUCUUUGACGACUCGUGCACCUGCAUCGGUGCGGGUGUUUCUCAUAAAGGAGACGGCUAGGAAAGCGCUGAAGUUGGUUAAAAGAGAGUAGCCGUUGGAUGUUACGGAAAAGAAAGAUUGUUCGGUGUUGAGGCCGGAGUAAGUGGCAGGAUAGAAAUGUAAACGGAGGAAUUUGGGGCCUUUGGAGACAUGAAAUGUGUAGGUAAAUGAAGAAGUGUUAAAAAUUCGAGCGGUUGAGUAAGGGAUUUGGGGGACUGAGGAAUCUAGGUGGUCUGGUGUGGAUGAGAAAGAGGUGGUGGAUCACAAAAAGGAAUGGUAAAGAGAAGGCCAACAUGAUGCCUGAAUACUUUGAUUGAUUGAAACCUUAAAGAAGUGCAUUAAUAAUCGUUGUUAUACAUACAUAUAUAAAUUAUGAAAUAUACAACUAGUGAGGAGUGAUAGUGAAUGAGUUGUCUGCUUGCUUUAACAGUAGACCUGAAAAGUCUUUCAAGUCUUUUUAAUUAGCGCGUAAUAGGAUAGAAUUCCACACGUACUAGAAAGUAAUGUUUGGGGUGGAAACAUUACAUGAACAAAAAUCUAAUUGAAUUAGUCAAUAUACAUGUAAUUUUAAGAGAAUAAUAUUGGAUUCUGUAAC